GAUGAACGCUGGCGGCGUGCCUAAUACAUGCAAGUCGAGCGAACAGACGAGGCGCUUGCUCCUCUGACGUUAGCGGCGGCAGGGUGAGUAACACGUGGAUAACCUACCUAUAAGACUGGGAUAACUUCGGGAAACCGGAGCUAAUACCGGAUCAUAUAUUGAACCGCAUGGUUCAAUAGUGAAAGACGGUUUUGCUGUCACUUAUAGAUGGAUCCGCGCCGCAUUAGCUAGUUGGUAAGGUAACGGCUUACCAAGGCAACGAUGCGUAGCCGACCUGAGAGGGUGAUCGGCCACACUGGAACUGAGACACGGUCCAGACUCCUACGGGAGGCAGCAGUAGGGAAUCUUCCGCAAUGGGCGAAAGCCUGACGGAGCAACGCCGCGUGAGUGAUGAAGGUCUUCGGAUCGUAAAACUCUGUUAGUAGGGAAGAACAAAUGUGUAAGUAACUAUGCACGUCUUGACGGUACCUAAUCAGAAAGCCACGGCUAACUACGUG
rnacentral:rRNA from 1 species